rnacentral:lncRNA from 1 species
AAACAUCAAGCUAGGAUCCAACACAAUACUCUACAACCUAGAAGAGGGAUGCCGUAAUCUAGUUGCAGAAUAUUUGAAGGUAGGUAAAUGACGAUUUACCAAUUUCCACCAUGAAAAACGAAAAAGAAGUUUAAGUUUUAAAUGAAUUGAAACUCCUAGAUCUUUUGAGAUUCAUUGAACUUUUCAAUGGCAUGUUUAAUCUUGAUUAUGCCCUACCAUUUGUGACUGGGAUGCCGAGGAUCACAAACAAGGUGUGAAUAACCAUACGAAACACAUGGUGCACCCAAUGCUACUAUCACCUAAUCAAUGUUCCAGUUAGCCACACACGCUCCAUUGAUCUAUGAUAAGCAUCGAGCCACCCUUUGUCACCAAUGUCAUCCCCAAAUUAGUGUCCCGGUUAGCCACACAUGCUCCACUCACGUUUGACAAGGGUACGAAGUGUAAUCCCAUGUAUUGGUAUACAAUUUUGAUGGGUUUUGGUCAUAAGACAUCCUAUGCUCAUACAAACCCUAAUGCUUGGAUCUAGGUUUCUCUAUUGUACAUGCUUUGAAUCCAAGACUAUAAACCCUAAUUCUAGCAUAUGGAAAUCAAUAUUAACAUAUAAUUAGGUUUAAGAUAUUACCUUGAUUGUUAUGUAGCAAUAACAAUCCCAAUUCCUCCUUGAAUUGACUUUGGAAGGCUUAGAGUCACAAGUGUCACUCCUCUAAUGGUUCACAAACACCAUAAGCAAGAGGAUGAAGAGGAGAGAGGUUAGAGGCUGCCCAAAAACGUGUGAAACCCUAGCAAGAAGCUUAGCUACGUUUUGGUCCUUAAGGGGUCUAUACAUAGUGAGGCUAUUAGGGUUAUCUAUCAAGGAAACCCUAAUUUGGUUGCUUAAGCCCUAAACAACCCAUAGACUCCUUUAAUCAAGCCCUUGGACGAUUUCCUUAUGGGCUUCCCAUAAGAAUUCAUCCACCUCUUGAUUUAAGACAAUCCAUGGCCCAAAUUGCAAUUAUCUUAUAAUUACAAUUCCAGUCCCUUAAGUUUAAUUAAUCUCUUUUAGUCAAAAAACUAAUUACCAAUUAAUUAUUGACUAAUAUUAGUUAAACAAUAUGAUUUCUCCUUUAAUAUAUUAUUCCCAUAAUAUAUUAAUAAAUCAUAUUUAAUCCUUUCUCUCCAUAAUUCAUCCUAUCAAGUUGCUUUGGUGAAGGCAACCCAAAAGGACCAUGCACCAUCGGGUCAAGUACAUACCAAAAUAGUUAUGGACUUAGACACUAAUCCAACAGUCUCCCACUUGGAUAAGUCUAAUAACUAUUAUGCGUAUGACUUCAGAUCCUGAUCUGCAAUCGUAGCUUUCCAAAGCCGCUGUCAACUCUGAUCCUAUCAGAUACGCGUGUCCUUAGAUAAGGGAUCAUAUAUUCCUCCAUUCUAGAUAUCAUAUGAGAUAUGAUUUCAAAUCAUUCUCUUUGUACUAUAUCUCGAUUCCCGAUUUAUGACGACUGACUAAUUGAACAAAUCAAAUUAGCCCUAGCCCGGCCGAGCAUUUACGUUUGUCAUCACUAAAUCAUCGAGGGGCCCAAAGAUAUCGCUUUUAUCCUACUUUGGAUAAAAGGAACGGAUAAACUUUGAUACAAUGCUUGCUUGCACUCACUCACCGAAUCACACACAACAAUAUGUUUUAUAACACCAAGUUACUAGUGCGUUUACAUAUUAUCAAUGUGCAACCGAUUUGCAAGAUACAACUCACACAUCUCGGUUUCAAGAAUAUAAGAUGUUAUCGUCUCACCAAUCACUCGUGAUACAAUUCAUGGAGUGAUCCAAGUGAGCGUGGGUUUAAUCCAAUGCUCAAAUCAUAUUCAUAAGCACUCAUGAACGUUGCAGCAAACAUUUGCUUAUGUCUAAUACUCUUUUAGACAAUCCACACACCAAUUCACGACAGUCUUCAUUCAUAUCUACUUCCAACAUAUGAACGACUGUGGCCCGUUCGAAUAAUUCGAUUAUUCUUAAUAAACUCAAUUAUUCUGGAAGUCAAAACAUGCAAAUGUGAAACACAAGAAUAAUACUAAUCCCAUAUGGCCUCAAACCUUUGAGCAUAAAUAAAACACCUUUUAUUUAUCACCAUAUCGAUUACUCAUUAUUUGUCGUUUCGGGUAAUCAACUUCUUACUUGAAUUAUUACACUUGUCCCAUGCUCCUAGCAUGCACACAAUGUUUACCUAUGGUUCUUACUUUGUGAAAUAGAUCAAAUUGAACACAUUUCCAAUCAUUCUCAUUUCACAACUCCAAAUCCUUUUUCAUAAGUGUGAGAAUAUCAAAUUCUUGUUACUUAUAAAAUAUGCUAGAUUCUAACAUUCUAUGCAAUGAUCCUUUCGUAAUGUCACUGCACCAAAGUCACAAAGACUAUUGCCAAUGAUAUUACAAAGUCCUCUAUCGGAGAUUGUUACAAGACAAUUCCUUAGAUAUGAUGUCUCUCACUCAAAGUACAUUCCUUUGAACAUCCUUUUGCAUAAAAGUUUCUAAUCUAGACAUAGAUUUUCAAUAUUCAAUUCCCAAUAUGGACACGUUUCCAUAUUUUCCAUAUGACAACUCAUUCUUAAUAGAAUCUUAUCUAUUCGUAAUGAUGUCGAUAUGGUCCAUCCAAUAUGGAAACAUUUCCAUAAUUUCCAUAUGACAACUCAUUCUUAAUAGAAUCUUUUCUAUUCAUAAUAAUGUCGAUAUGGUCCAUCCAAUACCAUGCUUCCAACUACUCACAAGCAACCAAUCCUCGUCAAACUUUGGAUUGUCCUUUGAUAGUUGUUUAAUUAUUUUAGUCAAAACCAAUUCUAGUCCCUUUUUCCUCAAAAUGCGCUCGAGAUUUGGAAAAUUUUAGAAUUGUCAAAUAUCAAAGCAUUUGCAAUCGAUCCUAUACCCGAAGCGUAUGGGACACGACACAUAAUGUUUUAUUUGCUAUGUUCUCAAAAUUCGAAUUGUGAAGAGGAAUGUCGUAAUCAUAAUCGAAAUUUUAAGAACACACUAUGUACCUUUGACUAAAUUUAUUAACAUUUCUCAACCUAAGCCUUUAGAUUUGAAAUGAAGCAUAAUAUUCUCUCCCUUAAUUAUAGCAAAACAACUUUACAACCCUUACGACUUUGCAAGGUAUAACUCUUGUUUUCUAUAAUUAAUAUUGCCAACUUGCAAUACGUGCCUUAAUAAUCAUACAAUCAUAACAUUUAUGCUCCCACUAUCAUGAUGAUUAUUAUAAAACAUAACACUUAUGCUCCCACUAGCUUCGACAUGUAUUCAUAAACAUCUUAACUUUCAGAAAAACAAUGCUUAUUGAAUUUCUUAAGUUCAUGUUUCUAAUACUUAGUGCUUUGAUAAUCUUUUAUCAAGGCUUCUUGAACUUAUACACCUUUGCCUUAGAUAGUUCAUAUGUGUGUCUAAACAAUUAAGACUAAUUGCCAAACCUCACAAUUCAAAUUAUGGAAAGGGAUACCGUAACCAUAAUCGAAUUCGAGAAUGCAAUUUUACAAUCACUAUCUUCUUAAAAUCUUUCUUAGUGAAAGCAUUUCCUCACAAUCAUUUUCAUGAAGGAGGAAAUCUAAUAACAUUUACAUUUAAACGGUGUAUUUGUUCCUAUCCAUGUGAAUUUGGUAAAACCAAGGUUUACGACAAAUUCAAACUCAUAUGGAUCGAACUUUCUUAAUCUCGAUUUCUUGCCUUAUGGUAGCACAGCUGCCCACCAUGUCUUCCAAGUAGUUAAGCAGCUCACCUUUUCCUAUCAAUGUACUUUCCAUUGAUCAAGGUCCUUGCCUUUUAUGCAUUCAAAUGAGAACUCAUAGGACUCACAUGCAUAAUUAACUCGAUUGGAUUGGCACAGAAACAAAAUAAUGUCAACACGAUAGGUUGUAAACCUCAACUCGUGUGCUAGUGAUGAUCGAUAAGGUUUAUUUGAUUUGUUCUUGAAACCUUUCAAGACCAUUAAGACUCCCACUGACUCCUUGACAUAUAAGAUUCUCUUGUCAAUAAACAUUUCUUGACAAACAAAUAUUCAAGAGUUAGUGUAGCUUUUAUCAAAACACUUCAUAAAUUGGUCCUAGUUGGUCUUUGUCUUAUCCAAGACAUCACAACUUUCCACAUUUGAUGAAUGUUAUAAACCUUCUUAAUACUUAUCACUCAAUGUCACAAUCUUAACUCUAAGACUUGUUUUGGAACGAAGUAUGAUUGACUUCUUGAUUUAACCAUUUCUUCAAUUCUUGAUUCCUCUUCUUAGACAUACAAUUGUACUAAGACUCACUUAGAGGAUCAAUUGAGAUAUGGUUCUUAAUCAUUAAGACCUAUCAUAAAGCAUAAAAGGUACUCUCCCUUCUUCUUAGAAUGGAGAAACUUUUAUCUUUCUGCCUACUUGAUUCUUCUUAUUCGUUCUGCUAUUGAUUUAAACCUUUUAAACAAUUCAGAAUUACACCUAAUCAUGUAAGUAUAAUCAUAUUUACUAAACCUUUAGUAAAUCAUGACGAAUAUCUUUGUUACUCUUAUGGUGGACUUGAUCAACACGCAACUUUGUGUAUUCGAUCUCCUAGUCCUUCACUUGACACUUUGUCAAUGAAUUAGUCUAAUUUCCAAAUAUGAAAUUUCUCAUUCAUCGUGCAACCAAGUUGCAUGAUUCCAAGUUUCUGUCCAAUUGAAACUUGGGCGAUGAGAAACUCUCCCUAUUUGGUAAAUUCUCGACUUUCCAUAAAUAACAUAAUAAGAACCAAAUCCAUUAUUGCUAAUAAUAGAAACAUUCAAACAUCAAUUUUUCAUAUACGCCAUUGCAAGGAUAAAUAAAUAAUAUAAAAUCAAAAUUUAUUUUAUUGCGGAAAAAUUUUGUCCUUACAAUGCAAUUCAUUGAAAAACUAUGCUAAUACAUCUUUCUUAGCAAUCUAAUUCUAACUCUAAGUAGUAGCUCAAGAAUCUAAUCUUCGAGAAAUGCGAUCGAAAUCCAUUCCUUCACGGUUAGAUUCUGCUCACUUCUUCCCUUAAGCUUCCUUUCUUUUCUUCGAUCCUACAAAACAUCAAUUGUAAUCUUAUCACAUUAUGUAUUAAGAAUCUAGAAUAGAAGCUUAAAAGAGUUAGUUAAUGGAUUUUACCUAUAUUAGAGCCAUACGUUUCGACUCUCCCAUCUCUUAGAUCUCUUAGGUAAAUGGGGCAGCUUCGUCUCCAAUGCCCUUUCUCUUGGCAAUAAAAGCAAAUUGACUCUUUUGGAACAUGACAUGGAACUACUUCAGACAUUGCCUUUCUCUUAUGAUCAAACUUUUCGAUCAUAGCAUGUCUUUCGUUGCCAUUGUCUAUAUCCAUAGAGGUCUUGAAGGCAGAUUCACCAAUCAACUUUGCUUUUCUAUUGCGCCAAACCAUUGCUGAUUCAGCAGCAAUAAGCAUAUAGGUGAGAUCUAUAAGGGUCACGUCGCGGUUCAUCAUAUAGUACUCUCUUACGAACUCACUAUAUGAGUUAGGAAGUGACUGAAGAACCCAAUCAACAGCCAUUUCCUCACAGACAACGGAUCCCAACAUUCUUAACCUAUCAAUGUGUGACUUCAUCCCUAGGACGUGUGCACACACCGACUUUCCUUCUUUAUGUUUACUUGCCAAAAGGGCUUGAGUGAUCUUGAACUUUUCAAGCCUUUGAACUUGUGGGUUAGGGAGAAUAAUUGGAGGAGGUGGAGGAAGUGAAGCAUGAUUUCUUGUUCCUCGAUCGAAUCGUGGAAUAUCAUCUUCAUGUGGAAUGCUUGUUCCACGGGAUUUGGGAAGACCAUAGUUGUCGAACUUUGACAUCUACAAAACGGGAGAAAACGAAUUCAAGUUAGUUGAUUGAUUGAGUCCUUAGUAAAUCACCCAAAUGAGAUACUAAGGCUAGGACCCAACACAAUAUUCUACAACUCGGGAGAGGGAUGCCGUAACCCAAAUUGCAGAACAUUUGAAGGUAAGUGAAUGACGAUUCACUAAUUUCCACCAUGAAAAACGAAAAAGAAAUUUAAGUUUUAAAUCUAUGAAAACUCCUAGAUCCUUUGAGAUUCAUUGAACAUUUCAAUGGCAUGUUUAAAUCUCGAUAUGCCCCUCUUGUUUGUGACUGGGAUGCCGAGGAUCACAAAGCGGGUGUGAAUAACCAUGCAAACUUACAUGGUGCCCUCACAUGUUACAGUCACCUAUUCGAUGUGCCGGUAAACCACACACGCUCCACCGAACUAUGACAAACAUUGAGUCACCCUUUGCUACCUUUGCUUAGAACCAUUUAGUGUGCCGGUAAACCACACACGCUCCACUAACGUCUUCGCAAGGGCACAAAGUGUAAUUUCAUGGAAUUGCAUCAAUUCACUUUUGCCUAAGUAACUAAGAUUGGGAAUUUUAUGAAAACAUUUAGUUACUUUUAUACUUCAUUAUACUUAUAAUGGAAGGUUUCGUCCUAUCCUACCCGUUCGGCUAACGACCCUCCACUAGUCAAGAGUGCGGUGGGUAAGAGUGGAUACCCAUUCAAUCGCCAUUUUAUAGGCAAUUUCCUUAAACACCCCUUAUAGACCAGCUUCGUGAAUGAGGCCUACUAACGGUAAGACUGACUUUUACUCAUACAUAUAUAUAAUGUUAGACUUUUAAUGUUAUAUAUAGUAUAGGGUGUAUUUUACACUUUUAAAAUACUAGGUGGUCAAAUUUAACAAUUAUACUUUUAAUUCAAUUAAAUUGUAAACCUAAACUUUUAUGGAUUUAUUAAACCUCUUUUAAUUAUACACCUUAAUUAAUUAAUAAAACCAUAAGGGUGUGAUUUGAACUUUUUCAAAACUAUACUAGAGUUUUAGAAUUUAACAUUCCUAAUUAAACUUUUAAUCAACUUUUAAAUUCCAAAACUUGAGGGCAAGUUUUGAAACAUUUCAACACAUUAGGGUUUAGAAUUUAAAUAUACAUCAAAAUUAAACCAUUUAAUCAAAAUUUAAAUUCCAAAACUUGAGGGCAAGUUUUGAAACCUUUUUCAAAACAUUAGGGUUUCAACUAUUUAAAUUUCAAAACAACAAAACUUUUGGGUUCAAAUUUAAACUAUAAAACCUAAAGGGGAAAAUAUGAAACUUUUCAUAACAACAAGGAUCAAAUAACAAAUAAUCUAAAUUAACAUUUAAUCACAUAAUUAUCCAUAUUUGAUUUAUUUAAUGAUUUCUUGCAAAACAAUUUAUCAAUUUAAUCAAAAUAAUUAAUCAAUUAUCACAUAAGGAAACAAUUAUCUUAUUAAUUGAUAAAUAUCUUCAAUUAGAUCAAAAAUAUAGUCAAAUAUAUCAUAUAAUCGGAUUAAUAUUGAUCUAACAUGAUAAGGUAACUAUCCAAAAGCAAAAACAGCAAGAAAUCCCGAAGUACCCUCCUUCUGACGAGUUGACUCGUCGAGUCAGCCUUGGACUCGUCGAGUCACCUUGGACUCGGCGAGUUCAGCCAUGGACUCGGCGAGUCCAGCCUCCAGAAACCCAAAAAACGAAUUUUCCAGUUAUACAAUGCAUCAAUACAAUUGAAACCAAGCUAGGCUCUGAUACCACUGAUGGGUUUUGGUCAUAAGACAUCCUAUGUGCUCAUACAAACCCUAAUGCUUGGAUCUAGGUUUCUCUAUUGUACAUGCUUUGAAUCCAAGACUAUAAACCCUAAUUCUAGCAUAUGGAAAUCAAUAUUAACAUAUAAUUAGGUUUAAGAUAUUACCUUGAUUGUUAUGUAGCAAUAACAAUCCCAAUUCCUCCUUGAAUUGACUUUGGAAGGCUUAGAGUCACAAGUGUCACUCCUCUAAU